ACGCGUUUCUCUCUCUCUUUCAUCAUCCAUAUUUCCGCACUCUCUCUCUCUCUCUCUCUAAUUUGUGGUUGUGUCUUCUGGGAUUGAUCUGAUGAAAAAGAUGGAAGGGGUUGUUGCUAUGGAGUCUUCUCCAUAUGCUGUGUGUGAGGACCCGAUAACUAGGUUGAGGCAUCAGAAUCUCUUAACUGGACAUUGAAGAGCUACAGAAGAAUUGAGGGAGAUAAGAGAAAUCAGAGUAGAAGAUGACCCUUCAGAACUACACCCGUGCCCUUUUGGACAAGAGAGACUGGGAUCCAUGUCAAGAUGACCAAAUGGUUGACCUAUUUAGUUUUGAUCGACUGUGAAAUGUAGAUGUUGAGCGCAUUAUGUGGGCUAUGAAGCUGGAUAAUGUAGCGGUGGAGCUAUGUAGAAGCAGGCAAGUGUGACUUGGUUUUUGGAUAUAUGUCAGGGGCAAGGUCUUCACUCUUGAAGACAUCUUGCAUCACUUUGCUUGAAUUCAAUGAAGUGGUAUGAGUUUGCCGCCAUGAGGGUGCCACAAUAUUACUUACAAAAUGGUGCAAACAUGAACCUUAUAACACCUUUUAACACUAGCAUGUAACAUGCAACCAAGGGCAAGAUACAAGAAGAGUCGACAUUUAUGCAGGAAUUUGAUUUUAUAUAGUGCAAGGUCUAUUAGAGAGAAGAAGUAAUACUUUCGAAUUAAAGUCACAUUUUAUCUGGAAAUAGCAAUAAAUUAAUUUUCUUGAUCAGAUUGUCUUGAUAGAUUGCAACAAGAAGUAACAUGAUUGUCAAACUUAUUUAUCUUCGAGUCACAUGUUAACUUCAAUUGUUACAGAGUUCAUUUUCAAGCUGGAAUUAUGUACGCUUCCAAUUAUGGUGAGCUUGGCCAACCAUUUCGUUCAAAUAUGUUUCCUUUGAGUGGGACUGGGUUUUUGGGUAAUGUUGGUCAUAGCAUAAACUUGGGUAAGCCUUAAUUUUUUGUGCAUCUUCAUUAUGUGCCUUUGGAAAACUAGUUACUGAAAAGCUUAAGGGCAGUGGUAGGUCUACUGCUGGUGAUUUUUCCCUCAAAACUUGAUUCAGAUAUUGACAACCCUUUUUGUGAUGAGGUAUUUGCUUUAGAUUUUAAAAAAAUGAAUCCAAACAAGUACUUAAGAAACAACAUACAAUCAUGUUUUUCUUUAGAGCAUCUUGAAUUCUUGAUUUAUAAAUUUUUUUUUCUCUAGAAUGUAGUUCUGAGCUGCUUGAAAAGUAUCUGAAAAAGUCGGUGCUCAUAUUUCUGGUCAUAUUGAUUGCUGUUUUAGCAAAUAUGGCAUUAUAUUUAUAGUAUAUUUU